UACGUAGGGUGCAAGCGUUGUCCGGAAUUAUUGGGCGUAAAGAGCUCGUAGGCGGUCUGUCGCGUCGGCUGUGAAAACUCGGGGCUCAACCCCGAGCCUGCAGUCGAUACGGGCAGACUAGAGUGCUGUAGGGGAGACUGGAAUUCCUGGUGUAGCGGUGAAAUGCGCAGAAUAUCAGGAGGAACACCGGUGGCGAAGGCGGGUCUCUGGGCCGAAACUGGACGCUGGAGGAAGCGAAAGCGUGGGGAGCAAACAGGA
rnacentral:rRNA from 1 species